CAGACACCGUGGGAACGGAGGACACCUUGUGGAAACCCAGGGAACACAACCCAGACACUGUGACAGAACCCCCCCUCUACGGAGUGGCUCCCAGACGCUCCACGAUAGACAAAACAGAGACCAGGAGGGAGGAGGACCGGAGGAGGUUCAGGGGGAGGGACGGAGGGCCAGACUAACAGAGGGGAACAGGGACAGGUGUGAACACACAAAACAGAAGACCAGAGCAGAAGACCACCACGUCCUCGUGGACGAUGCCAGAGUCCCCCAGGGCGGAGCGGAAGACCACCACAUCUUUGUGGUCGACGUCGGAGUCCUCCAGGGCGGAGCAGAUGACAUCCACGUCCCUGUGGUCAAUGUUGGAGUCCCCCAGGGCGGAGCAGAAGACCACCACACCCCUGUGGUUGAGGCCGGAGUCCCCCAGGGCGGAGCAGAAGACCAGCACUGCCAUGUGGUCAAGGUGGAAGCACUGCAGGCCGGAUCAGACCUCCGUGCGGCUGGACCAGCGGAACGACGAAGCUCUGGUAAUCCUCUGGUGUUUUUACUGGACUCCAGGAGAUCGGUGCUGGCCUGACUCUGUUCGCGAAGAUCAUUGGUGACUUGACACAGUCCUUGACGAUCACCAGUGACUUGACUUGACUCUGAAAGGUCAGUGGUGACUAGCCCUGACUCUGGAGGGUCAGCGGUGGCUAUCCCUGACUCUGGAAGGUCAUCUGUGACUAGCUCUGACUCUGAAGGGUCCACGAACACCUGACUCAACUCUGGAGAGUUCACUGGGACCUGACCCGACUCUGGAGAGUUCACUGGAACCUGAAUCGACUCUGGAGAGUUCACUGGAACCUGACUCCACUCUGGAGUGUUCACUGGAACCUGACUCGACUCUGGAGAGUUCACUGGAACCUGACUCGACUCUGGAGGGUCAACUGGAACCUGACUCGACUCUGGAGGGUCAACUGGAACCUGACUCGACUCUGGAGGGUCAACUGGAACCUGACUCGACUCUGGAGAGUUCACUGGAACCUGACUCGACUCUGGAGGGUCAACUGGAACCUGACUCGACUCUGGAGGGUCAACUGGAACCUGACUCGACUCUGGAGGGUCAACUGGAACCUUACUCGACUCUGGAGGGUCAACUGGAACCUGACUCGACUCUGGAGAGUUCACUGGAACCUGACUCUACUCUGCAGGGUCAACUGGAACCUGACUCGACUCUGGAGGGUCAACUGGAACCUGACUUGACUCUGGACUGCCUGUGGAGAUGUGAGACGCCUCGUAUUCGGGCACUGCCU